rnacentral:rRNA from 1 species
CCUACGGGAGGCAGCAGUGGGGAAUAUUGCACAAUGGGCGCAAGCCUGAUGCAGCGACGCCGCGUGAGGGAUGACGGCCUUCGGGUUGUAAACCUCUUUCAGUAGGGAAGAAGCGAAAGUGACGGUACCUGCAGAAGAAGCGCCGGCUAACUACGUGCCAGCAGCCGCGGUAAUACGUAGGGCGCAAGCGUUAUCCGGAAUUAUUGGGCGUAAAGAGCUCGUAGGCGGUUUGUCGCGUCUGCCGUGAAAGUCCGGGGCUCAACUCCGGAUCUGCGGUGGGUACGGGCAGACUAGAGUGAUGUAGGGGAGACUGGAAUUCCUGGUGUAGCGGUGAAAUGCGCAGAUAUCAGGAGGAACACCGAUGGCGAAGGCAGGUCUCUGGGCAUUAACUGACGCUGAGGAGCGAAAGCAUGGGGAGCGAACAGGAUUAGAUACCCUGGUAGUCCAUGCCGUAAACGUUGGGCACUAGGUGUGGGGGACAUUCCACGUUUUCCGCGCCGUAGCUAACGCAUUAAGUGCCCCGCCUGGGGAGUACGGCGCGAGACGAACUACGAAGAAGUAGACGCGNGAGACGNGCGACGACGACGACGAGGGAGGAGG